rnacentral:piRNA from 1 species
UCCUGUGUGCUCUCCAUACCCCAGAGC